AUGUAUCAUCAUUUUAGUUUUCUUCACCCAGAGAGCCACAAUGGAGCCACGUGUGGCUUCAAAGCCUCAGGUUGCAGACCCCCUGAAGCAACAGAAAACAGAAUUGCACCAGACCCAUUUGAGCUUCCUGUUAGCUGGCAGGCCUACGGGGGAGCGAUCCCACAUCAUUACAUCGGGCUGGUGGGGCCCUUUGUGUCCUUGACGCUUCCCUUUUGUCCCACUGUACGGAAACCCCAGGGAAGACCCAGGACAACAUGGAGAGACGACAACGUCUGUCCUGGGAAUUCCUCGGGAAUCCCCCAGAGGAGCUGGAGGGAGGAGGGGGCAAGAGAAGGUCUGGACAUGUUUGCUUAGACUGCUGCCCCGGCAUACCAAAUUUAAAAUGGAUUAAUUUUUUUUUAAAUCUGGACCAAACUGGAAUCAAAGAAUCUAAGAAAACAUUUUUGUUUUAGUGCUAUAUAAAAAAAUAGAAAUGUUGUCACUGAGACAUAAACGUUUGUUGCUUUCGUGUUUUGUCCAGCUGUUUGUUACUGUAGAUUUGUAGAACUGUUAUAUGAAUGUCUUCUUCUCUGAAUCACUCACACUUUUCAGAAGCCAGUUUAAUAAAAGUUCCCCUCCUCUGUGAAAGGGCUGAAAAGGAAAAGUUGGGUUGAACUCUCGAGGGAAAAAUGUGUCCCAGUUCCCACGUUUUUAGGCCAUAAUUCUGCUGGAAAAGCAUCUACUAUUUUUCCUCAUUACGGCUUCUGUCUCCUGAAAUCAGCCUCUUGUUUUCUUAAUCCUUCCAUCUCUUUUUUAAAGUUUUUUCUUUAUGCAAAAAUGAAGCCCCCUGCGCUUUACUCUACACAUUUUAGGUUUCUACUUAAAAAAAAACAAGUAAAAUGUAAAAAUAUUACUGGGAGAAAAUAGUCACGUUUCAUGAUUUUUCUAGUUUAGACUCAGCCAUAACGAUUCGUUUCCAGUUAAUGUAAUGAGAAUCCUGAAUUCGGCUGAGAUGUUUUGGACGUUUUGAGUGUGAACGGCUGUGACUCAUGCAAGGACAGUUUGACUGACAGCUGAGCUGCUUUGAUCCCUUCUUUUCAAUGUGAGAAAAUGAUUUCUCAAGACUGACCAGAUUUCUGAGGAGAACAGAGACAUUGGCAGAAAAGGAGGCCAGGAUGUCAUCAGUGACUGGUUAACACGCUGAAACAAACUAGUCUUCAAAUGUAACGAGUUGAAGCUAAACAGUGCAGUUAUCCUUGUCAACACUAAAAUCUAUUUGGUGGAUUUAUGUUAUCUUAACUUGCGAUUUAAAAAAUCACUAUUUAAACAUUUAGAAACUAGUGGCUGCAAACAGUGGAAUUACAUCAUGUGGUCACAUUUCUUCAAGUGAUUUUUGAUGGCUUUAGUUUUCCAAUAACUGUGUUCAGAAAUCUGUCUGUGCAUAGAGUUGAAGGAAGGUCUGAAAUGUUAAGAUCACACUUAGUUCUCCUCUGCAGUCUGUUCUCAGCCAAGAAAGCAAAAGCAGCAGGACGUGUGGGCAUCCGUCUGCAGACAGACGAGCUAACCCAGGCUCUGUCCUCUGAUCUGCUGAGAGGAGGCUCCAGCUGGUCCUGAUCCUGCUACAGGCUCAGUCUGAGCUCUGCAGACACAACAGUCCUGUUGGUCUUCACGAGAUUGUC
rnacentral:lncRNA from 1 species